AUAUAUCUUGCACCCGACUUUACAACAAGAGACUAACUACAUUCCAUUUGAAAUAGGCUAAAUUCCAGAGAAAAAGAAUAAAACAGUCUGCAGCAAAAUUUGAAGACUCCCAGUUGAGUCAGCAGGUGCAGUAUUGCAGUCGACAAGCAACAAUCAAUCAUGAAGUGAAAACUCAUUAGCAUUUGUUAGCUUUGUGGCUCGUUACAAAAUUAGAAACAAGAAUGGUGGCACCCUUUUUCCUCUUCCUCCUGCAAGCAAAACUAGUUGUGGAUGUACCUUCUUCACAUCUCUUUGUUUCAUGUGUUACCCAUUUUUGUAAACAACAGGGCAAGAUAAGUAGUUUGCGUUAAAAAGUAAAAAACAAAGAACCACUCUUCAAUUUUCUCCAUUUGCUAUUCUUCCCACUUCCCACUUCCCACUUCCCACUUCCCACUUCCCACCUCAGGAGGUCUCUAACAAUUAAUUCCUGCACAAGAAAAAAAAAAAUUUGCUAGAAGCUGCAAAAGAGACAAAUCAGUAAUUUUCCUGUCAGCAUACCAUACCAUACCAUACAUGGAUCUGAUACAUUCUCCAUCAAGGUUAUAUUUCUAGCCUGCUUGAUAAAUCCAAUAUCUAAUUCCGACUUUAUUAUUCCAAGAAACGAUGACCAGAUACCUACUAUAGCAUUAUUGCACAAUGAUAUACUUAUGGGGGGCUACAAGUAUCCUUUGGUUAGCAAUUUUUUAUACGACAGACAAAGAACCUUGUGUGUGGUAUUUGGAAAAGGCUCCCUCUUAUGGUGCCAUUGUCAUUACGAUUAGGAAAAAAAUUGUGAUUUCUAGGAUUUGAUCUUGAGGUGACGAGUAUUAUUAGCCAACUUUAGUAGGAUCGAUCUAACUAGGAUCCACGUGUUAGGCCACGAUUGGUGUGAAAUAUUCACGGUAUCAUAUCCCCCAAACAUUUGCAUUUCGAGAUGCAAAACUUGCCAUGUCAAAUGCAAUCUUUCGAUCAUACUAUUGUGGCCUACUUGUGAGAGCUUAGGCACAUGUCACUUGCACUUGGCCGAAAUUGGGUGUGGCUUAGUUACGAGAAAAGAUGCCUAGUAGGAAGACGAGGGUAGUGUAAGGGAUUCUUCAAUAAGAAAUGACUAUUGAGAUAUUGACAAUGGAUUCUCGUAAAUAUUCUAUGAGACUCUUUCAUGUCAUCCAUCAUAUUCAACUAGAAAGAGAUUCUUCAAUGCUCAUAGUUGAUCGAUCUUGUAUGUAUUCUGCGAGACUCUUUCAUGUCAUCCAUCAUAUUCAACUAGAAAGUGUACAUGACAUUGGAUUCAUCAAUGCUCAUAGUUGAUCGAUCUUGUAAGUAUUCUGCGAGACUCUUUCAUGUCAUCCAUCAUAUUCAACUAGAAAGUGUACCUGACAUUAGAUUCUUCAAUGCUCAUAGUUGAUCGAUCUUGUAUGUAUUCUGCGAGACUCUUUCAUGUCAUCCAUCAUAUUCAACUAGAAAGUGUACAUGACAUUGGAUUCAUCAAUUGUCAUAGUUGAUCGAUCUUGUAAGUAUUCUGCGAGACUCUUUCAUGUCAUCCAUCAUAUUCAACUAGAAAGUGUACCUGACAUUAGAUUCUUCAAUGCUCAUAGUUGAUCGAUCUUGUAAGUAUUCUGUGAGACUCUUUCAUGUCAUCCAUCAUAUUCAACUAGAAAGUGUACAUGACAUUGGAUUCAUCAAUGCUCAUAGUUGAUCGAUCUUGUAAGUAUUUUGCGAGACUCUUUCAUGUCAUCCAUCAUAUUCAACUAGAAAGUGUACCUGACAUUAGAUUCUUCAAUGCUCAUAGUUGAUCGAUCUUGUAUGUAUUCUGCGAGACUCUUUCAUGUCAUCCAUCAUAUUCAACUCUCAUAGUUGAUCGAUCUUGUAAGUAUUCUGAGAGACUCUUUCAUGUCAUCCAUCAUAUUCAACUAGAAAGUGUACCAACCCAUUACAAAUCACACCCAUUGCUCCUCUUGUACAACAACUAGUUGAUGUUUCUCUGAUACAAUGUCCUUAGUAUGUAUUUCGGAAAAAAAAGACAACUUUGAACCAUAGGAAAUGCCCUAUUUUGGUGGGGAUCUAGCUGGACUAGAAACCAAUUGUUAGGACACAAAUUGUGUGUAUUCACCAUAUCAAAAAUCAAAAGGGCAAAAAUAAAAGGAUGACAAUUCAAAGCAAGCAUAAAAAAUUCUCUUGUCCAUCAAGGUCUCAUUAUCUAUCAUUUGUUAAUACCUUCUCAUGUUAUGGAUACUGCUGCAAUAAACACCACAACAUGUGACUAUAGAAUUAGAGAAUCAUUGUACCAAUUACAUGUUUCAUCAUUUAGGGUACUAUAUUAGUGUGUGCUUUGGGAAUUAUGAUUACAAUUACAGAUAUAUAAGACAGACAAAAAAAAGUUAAAAGGACAUGUUUUUAACUAAGAACCAAAAUGUUUAAAGGCAAGAAUUGAACACUAACCGUCAAUGAUUAUAAUUCUGAUUAUAAUAAGUUGAGCCCAAUUAUCAAAAAAGCCUCCUUUCUUGAUGACCAAUGAUUGAUUAUAAUUCUGAUGGGAGGAACACAAACCACCUCACCCCAACAAACCAUUAGAUAAACAAACAAAUAAAUAAAUAACAAGAAAAACACAUAUUUCAGUGAAAUAAUAUCAAAAGGAUGUCUACGAAUAACGGGUCAUGCUUAAUAUAUGCUAAACUUUGCUUCUUUUUCGUAUGACUUUAAGCAAAGAAAAUUCUCUAGAAAUUGAUGCAACAUCUGUUGUGAUGCGGCUAAAUAAUUAAGGCGAGCCUAGAUCAGAGCAAUUUAGGAAUGAUUAGAUGAAAAUUAAAGGGCGACAAUGAAUAAUCUUAGCCACCUCAACUAGAAGUUAGUUCUGUUGUAGAGCUAAUGGAAGAUUCAAAGUAAAGCAGAUCAUAUGUUGUAAAAGUAAGAACUAACUAACUACGUAGUUAAAAUACAUAAACUAGUGCAACCAAAGUAUGGAUGAAAGAUAUGAAUAAGAAAUUCUAUGUAGUCAUAAUUAUCAGCAAAGACGAAAAAAAAAUAAAAAAAUCAACCAGAAACAAGGACGUAAAUACUACAGGCAUGAGUUCCACAUAUAAAGCUAGUAAGAACUUGAACAUAUGAAAGAUCUCGAAAAUUGACAACAGUUACAACCUUCAGUUAUAAUUCUAUCGAAAGACGAUUUGAAUACUUGGCUAACGCUAAUACGAAGGCCAGCCAGUUUAUCAACAAAAAUCUGAGGACACACAUUGAACAUGGUAACAAGAUUCAAAAGCAUCGGAAAGUUAAAAGAUUGAAGGUCGUGUG
rnacentral:lncRNA from 1 species